rnacentral:lncRNA from 1 species
CUCUGUGUGGUUUAUAGAUCCAAUAAUUUCUGGCUGGUUGGAAACCAUAAUCUAUACAUGAAGGGGGUUUAGAAAGUUUUUGAGGUCAGCAGUAAGAACUUUUAAACAGAAAACAAAUGAAAGUCAGUCCACAACAUUUAGAUUUGGUGGGAAAACAGUAGUCCAUGCAUGCUUGCAUGCCAUGGUUGAGGAAGCCCAAUCAUAUCAGAGCUCAGAUGGGUAUUUAGAACGGUAUGGUAACAUGGAAUAAAAUUAUACUGAUUUGAGUGCAUUUUACAUCGUGACAUUUUAGGAUGCUGUUAAGUUCAUAUAUUGCAACACAGUCAUUGUGGAAUCUUUCUGACAGUAGCUGCAGCCUAUUUUAAAAUAUUGCAUCAGUAUAGUUUGAGCUUCUGUUCCCUAAAUGACCUCUAAAAAUACUACAGCUUUAAAACAAAACAUUUCAUAUCUUUAAAUGGAAAUAAAACUCUAGCAGAAAGUUACAGUAAAUAUUUACAUACUGUGAGAUUAUUGCUGGACAAAGAUUUUGCUUAAAAAAACGGAAAGCCUUAAUGGUUCUUAUAGAAUGUUUCCUUAUAUAAUUGGAACAGCAAGGCCUGAAAUCAGUCACAAGAGUGUUGCUGCUGCAAUGAGAGUAGAAAACCAAGCACUUAAAUGAGGGUUGGAGGAGGAAUUCGUUUUACGUUUAGAAUUUGUAGUUUCUACUCCAGGAGAGCUUGGCCUGCAUUGGGUCGUCUCUUGAACUGAAGACCUAAUUAUGUCUGAGACCAUUAUUCAUUAUGUGUGUGUGGAGAGGGGUUUGAUUAAAAAAAAAAGUGCAAGUAAAACACUUAUUUCCCAGUAUAAAUGGGUCAAGUCUCAUGUGGUAGUAUAUUUCCGCAACAUAAUGUUGUAAAUAUUAGUAAGUAACUAUAUUUAUGCAGUUAAUUCAUUGUUGUAUACUUUAGGAAAUGUAUAGAGUCACACCUUGGAAGCCAAACAAAAUCUGUUCUGGAUGUCCAUUUGACUUCUAGGAUGUUUGACUUCCAAGGCGUGGCUUCCUGCAGCCAAUCGGAAGCUGCGGAAGCAUCGCUGGACGUUUGGCUUCCAAAUGAACGUUCGCAAACUGAAGCAGUCACUUCCGGGUUUGCGGCACUUGGGAGCCAAAACAUUUGAAUGCUAAGGCGUUCGUCAAACAAGGUACGACUGUACUUAAAACAUAGAAGUAUACCCUAAACUUCUGUUAUUAUGUACACUCCUGUAUGUAUCUGAGUACAUAUAAUAUUACAAUAUAAUAAUGAAUAUUAUGUGCAAUCAUUUUUCAUUUUUUGUAGAAUUGUAAAAAACAAAACAAAAACUCCCCCUAAUUCUUUAUUGAGAUCAAGUAUUAAGACAGAAACUGGAAGGAAAUAUCUUUUGAGGAUGAAAAGAGUACCCCAUGCUCCUCAGCUAGUCCACUGAGUGUGUCUGUGAAGGGUGUGUGUGUUAAGGGUGACCGUGUGUCAUUGUAUGUGCAUCUGUCUUAAGCAGGGGUCCUCAAACUAUGGCGUGCGGGCCGGAUCUGGCCCACCAGGGUCCUGAACCUGCCUCUGUCUUAAUUUUUUUAUAGACGUAAAACCGACUCAUCGGCUCAAUGGGGCAGCCCCACAUUGCAAGCACCCAACCAAAAAUGGAGGUCCCUUUGAGGCCUGCAAACCAAACCAAAUAAUAAAAUAAAAAUAAAGAUGCAACAGCAACGGCGGGAAUGCAAUGCGCACGGCGAUGGCGAGGCAUCUUCCACCCCACUCAGCCUCCCUCUUCCUCCCAGCCGACAAGAUCCUGAGAUGCUGCAUCCAUUGCUGGGAGAGGCGGGGCCUAUGAGCCUUCUAGUUCUGACUUGGCGUGACUUUCCUCCUUCUAGUUUCGGCGAAAGGUGCGCCGACCUGGAUCCAGCUGCAGCUCCCUUAAUUCCCACUCCCAGGCGCAGCCAUCCUUGAGUCACG